CCUACCUCAAGAUAAGAUUUCCCUAGGAAUUUAUUCCUCUAAAGAGCCGUUCGAGACUAGGACGUUGAUAGGUUGGAUGUGGAAGCAUAGUGAUAUGUGAAGCUGACCAAUACUAAUUGCUCGUGAGGCUUGACUAUACAACACCCAAGCAGUUG
rnacentral:rRNA from 1 species